rnacentral:lncRNA from 1 species
CCGCCUUCCCACCAGCCUCACAUGACCGCCUUGUUCAGGUGAUCCUCGCACUCCCCUAGCUCGUGCUGGGCCUCCCCGGUCACGUGGGGCCGGAGCCCGGGGAAGGAGGGGAGAGGUCCUGCCUUGCGUGGGCCGCCCUGGUGGCCCGCCCGAGGCGAAGCCGGGGGCACCUGGGCGCCGCCCGAGUCCCGAUCGGGCGGGAGGAUGGAGGAACGGCGUGGCCCCCGCUCCUGUGGCCUCCCAGGAUGGCUCGCGGCGGGCCUCCCAGGAUGCCUCAGGACGCCGCACGGAGGGGCUUCCGUGGCCCAGGCUUAGAAGCCAAAGCUAGCCCUGCUUGUAAUCGCCCGGCCCCGGGAAGUCGCAGAUCGCGUGGGGGGGGUUAGCCCCUACGUCCCGGGGAUGCUGUAAGGAUGCGAUGAGAUGAGAAAAAGGAGACUCAGAGAGGGCAAGUGAGUUACCUAUAGACACACAGCUGGUUUUCUUGGCAAAGAUAGUGUUUGCCAUUUCCUUUUUCAGCUCAUUUUACAGAUGAAGAAAUUGAGGCAAACAAGGCUUGUGUUUAUCCUGGAAACCUGGCCAGUUGCUUGAGUAAGCACAGCCCUCCUUAAAAAAUGAAAAAUAUUCUCCUUGGCCAGCCUCUUGUGAUGGAACAUCCUGUACCUGGGAGGCUGCUAUGUCUCAAGAGUCAAGUAUCAAAUGAGAAUACUCAGCGUGAUGUCUUCUUGGUUCUCAGCCUAUAAAAAUCCCUUGGUGGAAAGGGACUUGGAGAAUUUACCAAGGAAGUUCUUGCCUAGGAAUGCCUCCCACAAUUCUGUAUAGCUGCACUAUGGAUUCUCCCAGCUGAGGAAUUCAGGUGUUGGUGCUUCCUUGCAGUGAUGAUGUAUGUUGUAUGUUGCUUAUUUGUGUUUGCAAUAGUGUCUUUAUGGUAGCCACAGUGUUUAUUAAUUGUGUAUUAUUUGUAUGCUAUGAGAUUCCUCCUCUAUUUUGUCUUAUUUAAAUCAAGGUUCUGAGCAGUAAUAAACUUGUACCCACUCUCUUUAAGACUGUGCCUGUUGAAUAUGAAUUCUGAACUUAGAUUAAUCUUAGUGAGGCUGACAACUUUGCAUAACUCUGCUUUUUUAAAUCCAAUUCAUGUAUGAGUCAAGACAUCACCCAUGAUGUCAUUGGUUCUUUUUAAACAAAGGAUAAGCCGAAAUAGCCUCCAUUUCACAGCUAAACUCCCAGAAAAAAAAAAUUGUCUAUACUCUCUCAGCUCCCACUGACUUCUUAGUCUCUUUCUCACUUCCCACUGACUCCUCAAAUGUAUUGCAAACUGGUUUCCCUAUCUAUCCAUCACUCAACUCAAACUAUUCUCUUUAAGUUCACCAAUGAUCUUCUUGUUGCUAAAUCUAAGGAAAUUUUCUCAGUCUUCAUAAUUCUGUGAGAAUACUAUCCAUGCCCUAUUUCCUUAUAUUUAUGUAUGGCCCAAAACCCUAUCUAGAGUCUUCUCACUCUAGAUUUUUUUCUUGAUGACCUCAUCAACUACCCUGAGACCAAUUUCUCCGCAGACUCUCAAAUUAAUAUAGAGCUAACCUUUUAUUUCUCUCUAAAGUUCAAAAACCUACAUCAUCAACUCUGUUGAAUACCUCCACCUGAAUAUCCCA